AGAAAUAUGUUUUUUAUUUUUUAUAGAAAAGAAAUGUUACCUCGACUCCUUGUUUGACAGAAAUUGCAUAGCACCUAGUACUGCAUGCGCUUGUAUACUCUGUGAUAUCGUCUUCUGUUUCAGGUUCUGUACAAGCUAGUCUCAGAAUCACUGACCUUAGACUUUCACCAGGCCAUUUGUAUUCCACAUGAGCUUCAUAGUCUGCAUCAACCUCCAUAUCUCUCCAUGGAUAGUAGAUCUCACUUCCGCUGUUACAAACUAUUGCGUCAAAUUCUUCCAAAUUAAUAAGGUAUUUCUUUGUCAUCUCCACAACUUCUUGCACGCUUGAACCUGUUGCCAGGACGAAGCCUAUUUUUCCUUUGCCCGAUGUCAAACCUGCAGUUUUCAUCACAUUCUUGAUGACAUCUUCCAAAUUCGCUUUGGUGUCUCCGUUGUCAUCGUAGGAAUCAACAGUAAUCACAAAGAGCAUCUGCCUUCUGCCAGGGCUGUAGAGAGCAGAUGGGCCACCCUUCAUAGAAUUCAUUUGACUUAUGGCGUUGACAAGUUUCCUCUGUCUAGUGCUUGCAUCUAGUUCCCCAUUGAGCUUGAAAUCUCCAUCCAUGGAGAAUCUCAAAGAUAUGUCAUCGACAUCACCUAGAGAAUCACUUAUAGGCUCUUCUGGAACUUUCAUUAUGUCGAGACUACUGGUUGGGUGUCGGUUUCUGCAGUGUUCAACAUGGGAAAGGUAGUUACGGCAGUGCUCUGGCCAUGAGAAACGGUGGAUGUUCUUGAGACCGUUCUUUCUGCACUCAGCCCAGAGAUGUUUGUUAGCUACGAGCUUUAGAAGGGCAUCAGAAAUGGCUUGUUGAUCAUGUGGGUCGACUAGGAGACCAUUGUUUAGUGCCUGGUCACAUACAUUAUGUUAAAUUUAGCUUUCCGAAUCAGUGAGGUUUGUUUUUAUAAUAAAGAGAUUUGAUUACCUUGACGAUAUCAACAGGCCCGCCAUUUUUGGUGGCAACAAUGGGCAGACCAUAAGCAGCUGCCUGUCAUACAUAAAUGAUAAAUGGUGGGAGCAUGAAGAGAGGUAAAGAAACAUAACCUAGGAAUGAAUCUGGUUACCUCAAUGAGCGUGAGACCAAACGGCUCUACCAGAGCUGGAUUAAUGAAAACUCCCUUCAAGAGAAAAAAAGGCCACCAUAAGAGAAGGAGGCAACAGCAAGAAUCAUAUAGUAUUAUAGGAUUUUCCUGUGAAGUACCUUUGUUUUGGCUGCUAAACGAUAAAUAUCUGGAACUUCAGAUUGUUUGUGAUGCUUGGGAUAAGCUACUUGGCCGUACAAGUCAUACUGGUCUAUCAGCUUUAGGACACUCAUGAGAACAACUGAACUGCUAUUAGACAUCUCUUCAAUGUCAUCUCGGUUUCCUAGUAUGAGUGUCUGGAACAGGGAGGUUCUUUAUUAGGAAAUAAUUUAGCAAGGCUGUACCCAUUAAAUUAUGUCAGAAGGACACUGUAAUAAUAAGGUAAGAAAUGCUGAGAUACUUACCAAGUUGGCUAGUUCUCGAAGAGGCUGACAUUCACCAAAAGCUUUGAGCAAUGUGGUGACGUUUUUCUUGGGGUCUGGUCGAGACAGCGCAAGUAUGGUUGGCUUAUGAGGAUUUGUGAAAAACCGCAUUAUCUGCAGAUCAUAGGUUAUAUGAAAGGCAUGGAAACAAACACAAGACUGUAAUCUUUCUUUCUUGCAGAAAUGAACACAAAAAAAUAAAUAAAGAAAUACCUCAGACCAUAUUGGAGGUACAGGCUUUUUAAUCUGGUUUCGGUCAGGGCCAAUUAGCGACUUGAGAUCUGCAUCAGCAUCUUGUGAAUCUUGUGUCAAGACGUCAUGGUCUGGACAGUAUACUAAACCUGACUGCUUGCAAUCUUGAUGCACAUAGUGGUAUAACAUUUAUCCUUGUCGCAGCAUGUGUAUAGACAAUGUUGCACCUUAAACCUCUCAUCCGAAGCCUCUGCCUAAGGUCAUCAACUCUUCGAGUCUGCCAUUCACACACGUAGACUUUUAAUAUGUUUUUAAGCUGAGAAAUAUGUUUUUUAUUUUUUAUAGAAAAGAAAUGUUACCUCGACUCCUUGUUUGACAGAAAUUGCAUAGCACCUAGUACUGCAUGCGCUUGUAUACUCUGUGAUAUCGUCUUCUGUUUCAGGUUCUGUACAAGCUAGUCUCAGAAUCACUGACCUUAGACUUUCACCAGGCCAUUUGUAUUCCACAUGAGCUUCAUAGUCUGCAUCAACCUCCAUAUCUCUCCAUGGAUAGUAGAUCUCACUUCCGCUGUUACAAACUAUUGCGUCAAAUUCUUCCAAAUUAAUAAG
rnacentral:lncRNA from 1 species